rnacentral:tRNA from 1 species
GUCGGCGUGGCGGAAUUGGUAGACGCGCUGGAUUUAGGAUCCAGUGGGGCGACCCUUGGAGGUUCGAGUCCUCUCGCCGACA